rnacentral:rRNA from 1 species
UACGGGAGGCAGCAGUAGGGAAUUUUCGGCAAUGGGCGGAAGCCUGACCGAGCAACGCCGCGUGAACGAAGAAGUAUUUCGGUAUGUAAAGUUCUUUUAUUAGGGACGAAAAGACAGAUUGACGGUACCUAAUGAAUAAGCUCCGGCUAACUACGUGCCAGCAGCCGCGGUAAU